GAAACCCACAGGGGGGAUGAGAUGGCCCAGGGACGCCAGCUGUGCAGUGGCGGGUGGGGCUCUAGGCCAUGCUGUGUACCCUCGGAUCCUAGCCACCACCCAGCUCUCCCCCUGUUGUUCUACCCUGCUCUGUCUUCCUCUAGCUACGGGUAUAAUUUAGGACUCACACUCCCUUAAAAUAUGGUCCUUGUCAUUGCCUUUGUGGCAAUUUCUGCUCUUCUUUCUCUCUUCUGAAAGGUCACCUACCUAACCUUCACUGCCACUUCCAUCUGUGGCCGUCCUCCACACCCACCCCUUCCAGCAGAUGCACGGUUCCCUUGCUUGUCGUAAGCUAUUCCUUGCAAAGUCUGUCUCCCCUCCCUCCCCUGCAGCAGAGCCUAUGGUCUUUCUGUGUUUCUGACUCCUGGAGCAGCCCCGGGACCCUCGAGUUACAUGGUAGAUGGGAAGAUGUCCCUGCUUCUGGGAAUCCUGGUCUUCACAGGAGACCUUCUCUCCAGUUCAUGAGUAGAGGAAGCCAAGAGUAAGUUUGCCAAUUUACCAAACCUGGGCGUCGUCUGGUUUGAAACCUUAUUCUAAACGUACUUUCUUUCUAAAACACUC
rnacentral:lncRNA from 1 species